rnacentral:rRNA from 1 species
CGCCUGUUUAUCAAAAACAUACCUCACUAAGAGAGGUUUGCUCUUAGCAGUACCUGCCCAGUGCGUCAUAUUGUAAACGGCCGCCCUAGCUGGAGGGUGCCAAGGUAGCGAAAUUCCUUGCCUUUUAAUUGUAGGCCUGCAUGAAUGGAUUGACGAGGGCCAUUCUGUCUCUUGCCUUAUGAAGUGAAAUUGGAUUAAAGGUGAAGAUACCUUUAUUAAAAAGUUAGACAAGAAGACCCCGUGCAGCUUUUAAAAGAUCCUUUAUUAAGAGAGGUAGAUUUUUAGGUGGGGCGCCUAGGAAGUAAAAUUUAACCUUCUGUGUAAUUUUGUUUGUGACAACUCUCUAGUAUAGACCCGGUGAAAUCCGAUCGUAGGAGAAGUUACGCCGGGGAUAACAGGCUUAUCCAUUAGUAGAGCUCGUAUUGGCUAAUGGGAUUGGCACCUCGAUGUUGAAUUAGGGACAAUAACUUUAAGGCGUAGAAGCUUUAGGAGUGGGUCUGUUCGACCUUUAAUACCCUACGUGAUCUGAGUUUAGACCGG